rnacentral:rRNA from 1 species
UAUAGAUUUUUUUUCUGGCUCAGGAUGAACGCUGGCGGCGUGCCUAACACAUGCAAGUCGAGCGAUCUCUUCGGAGAGAGCGGCGGACGGGUGAGUAACGCGUGGGUAACCUGCCCUGUACACACGGAUAACAUACCGAAAGGUAUACUAAUACGGGAUAACAUACGAAAGUCGCAUGGCUUUUGUAUCAAAGCUCCGGCGGUACAGGAUGGACCCGCGUCUGAUUAGCUAGUUGGUAAGGUAAUGGCUUACCAAGGCAACGAUCAGUAGCCGACCUGAGAGGGUGAUCGGCCACACUGGAACUGAGACACGGUCCAGACUCCUACGGGAGGCAGCAGUGGGGAAUAUUGCACAAUGGGCGAAAGCCUGAUGCAGCAACGCCGCGUGAGCGAUGAAGGCCUUCGGGUCGUAAAGCUCUGUCCUCAAGGAAGAUAAUGACGGUACUUGAGGAGGAAGCCCCGGCUAACUACGUGCCAGCAGCCGCGGUAAUACGUAGGGGGCUAGCGUUAUCCGGAAUUACUGGGCGUAAAGGGUGCGUAGGUGGUUUUUUAAGUCAGAAGUGAAAGGCUACGGCUCAACCGUAGUAAGCUUUUGAAACUAGAGAACUUGAGUGCAGGAGAGGAGAGUAGAAUUCCUAGUGUAGCGGUGAAAUGCGUAGAUAUUAGGAGGAAUACCAGUAGCGAAGGCGGCUCUCUGGACUGUAACUGACACUGAGGCACGAAAGCGUGGGGAGCAAACAGGAUUAGAUACCCUGGUAGUCCACGCCGUAAACAAGGAGUACUAGGUGUCGGGGGUUACCCCCCUCGGUGCCGCAGCCAACGCAUUUAAAGUACCUCCCUCC